CCCUUAGAUGUCCUGGGCCGCACGCGCGCUACACUGACAUGUUCAACAAGCCUCCUAGUUCGACAGGAUUUGGGAAAUCUUUGAACGCAUGUCGUGAUAGGGAUAGAUCAUUGCAAUUAUUGAUCUUGAACGAGGAAUUCCUAGUAAACGCGAGUCAUCAGCUCGCAUUGAUUACGUCCCUGCCCUUUGUACACACCGCCCGUCGCACCUACCGAUUGAAUGUUUCGGUGAGGAUUCCGGAUAGGACUUUUUUGAUUUAUUUCAAUUUUGUCUUAAAAGCUAUCUAAACCUCAACAUUUAGAGGAAGGUGAAGUCGUAACA
rnacentral:rRNA from 1 species